UACGUAGGGUGCAAGCGUUGUCCGGAAUUAUUGGGCGUAAAGAGCUCGUAGGCGGUCCGUUACGUCUGCUGUGAAAACUCGGGGCUCAACCCCGAGCCUGCAGUGGAUACGGGUGGACUAGAGUGCGGUAGGGGAGACUGGAAUUCCUGGUGUAGCGGUGAAAUGCGCAGAUAUCAGGAGGAACACCGGUGGCGAAGGCGGGUCUCUGGACCGAUACUGACGCUGAGGAGCGAAAGCGUGGGGAGCGAACAGG
rnacentral:rRNA from 1 species